GAACUACUUGGUUUUGAUCCUCGUUAUUCCGUGGUCCAUAAAAAGAGACGGAUUCCUUCCAUAACUUAAAACUGGAAUCAAUUACUUGCUUCACAGAUGCAUGGAUAACAGAAGACAAAGUAGGGCCAGCGCCCACUUUACUCCCAUGGGAAACCAGCAGGAAACCCUGCAGCAUAUUGAAAUAAGAUGCCAUAUUUUCCUCAAUUGCUUUAACUUCUAGUCUUU
rnacentral:misc_RNA from 1 species